rnacentral:rRNA from 1 species
AUACGUAGGGAGCGAGCGUUGUCCGGAAUUACUGGGUGUAAAGGGUGCGUAGGCGGGACUGCAAGUCAGAUGUGAAAUGCCGGGGCUCAACCCCGGAGCUGCAUUUGAAACUGUGGUUCUUGAGUGAGGUAGAGGUAAGAGGAAUUCCUAGUGUAGCGGUGAAAUGCGUAGAUAUUAGGAGGAACAUCGGUGGCGAAGGCGGCUUACUGGGCCUUUACUGACGCUGAGGCACGAAAGCGUGGGGAGCAAACAGGAUUAGAUACCCUGGUAGUCCACGCUGUAAACGAUGAUGACUAGGUGUGGGGGGACUGAACCCUUCCGUGCCGCAGUUAACACAAUAAGUCAUCCACCUGGGGAGUACGGCCGCAAGGUUGAAACUCAAAUGAAUUGGCGGGG